UUCAAUGAAGGAUUACAAAAUUCUUGAGAAAGCUCGGUAAUCGGGACGGCAGAGUUUAUUAGGGUAUAUGUUAAAUGUUGCAGCUUUGGAAUGGAAUUGUUAACUUAUUUUACACAUACUAUGACUUAAGUUUGCCUCGUGUACAGUAGAUGAUGCUACAGUCUGAAGUAUAUUUCAAUUUCGUUAUAUCGUUUUUCCAGGUUGAGAUUUGAAUACUAGUUGCAGUGCGAAAUUUACAACAUUUGAAGUAUGUAAAUGUUCUGUUUAUUUGGCAAAUUGAAUAAAAUAAGACUGUU